CCUACGGGGGGCAGCAGUGGGGAAUAUUGCACAAUGGGGGAAACCCUGAUGCAGCGACGCCGCGUGAGUGAAGAAGUAAUUCGGUAUGUAAAGCUCUAUCAGCAGGGAAGAAAAUGACGGUACCUGAGUAAGAAGCCCCGGCUAACUACGUGCCAGCAGCCGCGGUAAUACGUAGGGGGCAAGCGUUAACCGGAUUUACUGGGUGUAAAGGGAGCGUAGACGGCAGUGCAAGUCUGGAGUGAAAGGCGGGGGCUCAAACCCCGGACUGCUCUGGAAACUGUACGGCUGGAGUGCAGGAGAGGUAAGUGGAAUUCCUAGUGUAGCGGUGAAAUGCGUAGAUAUUAGGAGGAACACCAGUGGCGAAGGCGGCUUACUGGACUGUAACUGACGUUGAGGCUCGAAAGCGUGGGGAGCAAACAGGAUUAGAUACCCGGGUAGUC
rnacentral:rRNA from 1 species